rnacentral:rRNA from 1 species
CGGGGUAGGAGUAACGCGUGAGGAACCUGCCUCAAAGAGGGGGACAACAGUUGGAAACGACUGCUAAUACCGCAUAAGCCCACGGCUCGGCAUCGAGCAGAGGGAAAAGGAGUGAUCCGCUUUGAGAUGGCCUCGCGUCCGAUUAGCUAGUUGGUGAGGUAACGGCCCACCAAGGCAACGAUCGGUAGCCGGACUGAGAGGUUGAACGGCCACAUUGGGACUGAGACACGGCCCAG